UAUUAAACCGAAAUAUGUUUUAAUUCUGAUUUGUUUUUACCAUCGUACUACAGGGAAGCCCUUUCAACGUUUUAAUUCAUUAUAUUGUUUAAAACUAUUGCGAACUUAAAUGCAUCUAAUUAUAAUUUGAUUCCAACUACUUAUUCGUAAAUAUUGAAUCAUCGUCACAGAACAAAACAUUAAGAAGAAUUUGUUUUUGUUUUUAAACUAAAUAAGUUUUUGGCAAAAAUUUAAUUUUUGGUACAAACUUUUAUCGCUGACUGUACUUUUCUUACGACAGACAACUAAUACUCAUCGAGACAAUUCUAAAAACCCCUAACACUAUUAGGUUGCGUUGUUUCAUCACAGAGUUCUUAUGGUCACCUCCUGUCUCCAUCAUCAGAUCAGCUCGAUGGUACCAUAAUAUUGCAUUGUCAUCCGAUUUAUACAUGCAUGCAAAAUUUCAGCUCAAUUGGAAACCGGGAAGUGGAUCAAAGUUAACUUGCAAGAUUUGAUUACAGACCGACAGACAGACAACGGUCGUGAAACUAAAUAAAAGCUUGUAAAAAUAUCAAUUGUUAACAAUGUUUAUGAAGUUAUCGAUCUGUUGAAAUAUUUAUGUCAAAACCAUUAAAACUUAUUGGAAGAAAAACAAUUAAAAUUAUAAAAGCCGGUACAACUCUAGCCUCAUAAUAAUCAAAGAAUAGCCAUUGAAAUUAAACAAUACUAUGUACACUUAUUACAUUUUCAAUUUAUCAUAAAAGUAACAUUUUCGAGAAAAAUAAGUUAUGAGAAUAACCGGGAUAAAUGCAACUAUGGAGUUGUUACGUAUUUUAACACCCUCUUGGUCCUACUUUAUAACCGACUUCAAAAAAAGGAGGUUAUUAUUCUUCAAGUAGUUCAGGUUUUUAUGACGGCAGAUGGGACCUCUUGUAAUUCGCGUUGUUUGAAAAAUAACUCAAAUCAGACGCAGUAAUCCCAUAGUUGCAUUUGCCCCGUUCGGGUAAUUAUAAUUUUAAUUUGUAUUAUCCAGUGCUAGAUGUGUACUAACUAUGUAAAGCACUGUGAUGUCCAAGUGCCGUUUAUUUAGAACUUAAACACCAUUGUGUUAGAAUUAUUUACAUAAGAAUUUGAAAUAUAUGAGCACUUUUUUAUGUA